CAGGUAUGACGGCCAAGGCUCUACUUUCGUGGUCAGCAUUCGCGAGUCUCCUUCUGAUACAGUUUGCCAGCGCAGGAGGACCACCUCAAAUGGUCGAGAAGGAGACGCUGCUCUCUGCAACCGACUGUCUGAAGGAGCUGUUGCGAAUGACGUCCAAGAGAUGGUGCAGCGUCAUCCUGAUAACAGACGGAGACAUCUCCCCACGAGCCGUCAAAAAGGUGAUAUACAAGAUGCAGCCAGAGUUUGGCAUACGGCUUUAUGAAGUGAAGAUGCAACACCAAAUCUUGAAUGAAACACAACAGCGACUUUCUGACAUAGUUCAAGACGUAAUUAAAUGGAAGAAAUCCCAUGAAUGCGUGACGGUGGUGACGUCCAGCGACGACGCCGUCUUCCUGGACCUUUUCGCCGGCGCCUACGUCUUCGACCUCUUCCUCUUCUGGAGGCUGAAGCCCAUCAUAGUCACCAGCUUACCCCUUCAGCAGCUGAGGGACCUCCUUCGAAAGCACUGGUUCCUCUUCUCAAGCAAUUCCAUGGUGCUCCGCGUCCCGGAGGACGAAGAGAAGAGA